rnacentral:lncRNA from 1 species
UCAUUUUGCUCAGUGCAGAGUGGCCAAAAACAAGUUGUACUGGGAAAAGGAGAAAAAGAGAGAAGAGAAAAAAGAAAAGAAAAAAAAGAGAAAAGAAAACAAAGGGUGGGGAAGCAAACAGCAAACAAAAAACAAGGGGAAAAAAAAAAAAACAAGGGGGAGUUUCGUCUGAUUCUAUAUACUGUAAAUCCCUUGUCUUCCCCUGGAACUUUCCAGUGCUGCUUGGUCAAUAAAUUGCUUUUCUCCUUUCUAGUUGGUCUUCUGGGUGAGGGGCCUGCUGUGCUGAUUCUCAGGUAUGAGCACCUGGGGUUGCUGCUCAACCCCCUGCCUGGUUCAGGGCUCAGUGGGAGUUAUUUAUCCUGUUUAUCCUGUGAGGUCCCAGGAGGAACAACAGUGUUGGCGGCCAGCUCUCCAGCUCUAGAGUCAGCUCCUGCAGUAACUACUGCAGCUCCCAGUCCGCAGGGGCCUGUAUGCUCCGGGGACGUGGGGCACCAAUCUGCACAGCUCGGGGCCACCCAGCGGCAGGAGCGUCCUCGCUGUCCUGUGUCUUCCCGUCCUCUGCCUGUCCCUGGGGGAGCACCGGAUCCUGGGCUGUGUCCCCCGUGCCCUAGGCUCUGGGGCCUGCACUGCUGGAAUCGCGCUCCCGGGGCGCACAGCCCCCUCGGAGCGGAGCUGCCUCCGAGCUGCUCCUGGGGCCCGCCGGGCACGCUGCAGCCCUUCAGGGAGCUUGCUGCGGUGUGUGGCGUGCUCUCUCCUGGGCACACCUCCUCUGUUAGUGUCCCAGGGAGCCUGAGGGCACCCCCGCCCUCCUGGGAUCCUGCUCCAACUCGCUGCGAGAGCCUUUCCGCCCGGGAAGGUCGGUGCAGCUCCUGCCCCUCCGGGACGGGGCUUUCCUGUCCUGGGGACACUCGCCCCGGCCUCAGCCAUGCUCCUCGCGGGGCCCCUCCCCCUUGGAUGCUUUUUCUUUCUUUAUUUUUUUUCCAUCUUCCUACCUUGAUAGAAGCGCGCAACUCUUCUCACUGUAGCAUUCCAGCUGUUCUCUCUUAA